UACGAGGGGGGCGAGCGUUUGUUCGGAAUUAUUGGGCGUAAAGGGUGCGUAGGCGGUUCCGCAAGUCCUGUGUGAAAUCUUCGGGCUCAACUCGAAGUCUGCACGGGAAACUGCGGGGCUUGAGUGUGGGAGAGGUGAGUGGAAUUCCCGGUGUAGCGGUGAAAUUCGUAGAUAUUGGGAAGAACACCGGUGGCGAAGGCGGCGACCUGGUCCUUGACUGACGCUGAGGCGCGAAAGCGUGGGGAGCAAACAGG
rnacentral:rRNA from 1 species